UGCUGCCUGGAACUGCUGAGGCCCCCAGUACUCUUGUUUUUGUUUUAUCGGGUCACGGUCACAUUGGGAGCUGACGGGAUCUUGCUGUGCCAAAAUUGACUGGUUAGGGAUUUUAUACAGAAGAAGACCACGGUCUUGGCCAAGCCUACAAGUCGAAUAUAGAAAGAAGAGUGCUCUGAUGUGGGGGCGCUCUCUCGGUUAGUAUCGUAUAUCAUCUGCAGAGAAGGAACGCCUUUGGGGAUAUGGAGAGACUCCAUGAGAUCUGGAAUCAGGAGUUAGACUUCCUGUCAGCCACUGAACACAAAGUAGCCAGCACGUUUUGGGUAAUUUGAUGGGAAGUGAAGAAAC